GGGGAUUUAGCUUAAUGGUAGAGCAUUUGCCUAGCAAAGGGAAGGAUAUAGAUUCAAUUCUCA
rnacentral:tRNA from 1 species